AGAAAGCUGGGUAGGAUGUGAGGCUGUGAGAAUGGAAACAUAGGAAGGGAAGAGGGAAGCCGCCAUCUUAGGUAGCUAGUGUUUAUAAAAUGGCCGCUUCUGAGAGAUGUGGGCUGAGUGCCAGGCAGGGUGGUGGGCACGAAGGAGAAUGACAACAGAAGGAAGGGUUUCCCAGCUGACCAAGAACAGACCUGAAUAUCACUAUCAGUGGGAUUAGAAAGGGAGGCGGAUGGGGGGGGUCUCCCAGAAGAGUUCUAGGGUUCAGCAUCUAAGCAGGGUAGUAGAAGCCUCAUCCCUGUGUACAGAUCCCAGAGGACUCAAGGCUAUGGGUGAUGUCGAAGGUGCGGAAGAAUCAAGUUGGAAAGACCAGCAGGAGACAGACAGAGUAAGGUUCCUUGAAUGCUUGGUUUAUGUGCCUGGCUGGA
ensembl:lincRNA Gm3764 predicted gene 3764